rnacentral:rRNA from 1 species
UUGCCGGCAGCUAGCUCUCUGCAACUCUCACAUGGUCGCUCACUGAAGCUAAGCAGGGCUGCACCCAGUCAGUACCUGGAUGGGAGACCAGUGGUGUUAGUGAGGCCUUCAGGGAGC